CAUAUGAUGUUUUUUUUGCAGAUCCACUACACUCAUUAUAUACGAGUCUUAAUAGUGCCUUUAGAGAAAUGGCAUCUCAAAAGAAGUAUUGAAACUUCCAUCAAUCAGCAGAAGCUUCCUCACUCAACUUAUGAGAAAUGCAUAGCAGCUAUCUAUCUAAAGAAACUAUCUAAAUUUGCCUGUGCUAACAAACAACAAUUCCCAAUGGCUUGUGAAUGAUUUGUUACGUCCCGUUUGCUGUCCUCUUUCUGUUCCUCCUUUCUGGUCUACUUUAGAACACGUAAGACAAUCCCUUGGUUACAAGCCCAUCACCUUAGUUGAAGUUCUGGUUGGCUUUGUCUUUCUUUGAAACAUCAUUUUUAAAAGGAUCCAAAAUCUGUUUAUUUCUGUUUGUUACGUUACUGUGCUAUUCCUGUUUUAUUAUAUUUCUGAUAGAACAGUUAAAUAAUUUCAUGUCUUUGCCCCUAUUGCAGUUAUGUUAGGACCUCCCCAAUCAAUCUUGAAACCAAAGACAGGUUUGAAGAAUGCUGGACUAGAUGAGACAUAAUGAAAUUAAUUUAAAAAAAGAAAGAAAAAUGAUUGCACAUUUUACCUCUAUGGUUUUUGUUUCUAG